AGAUUGAAAUUGAGUACCCUUUCCUAUUUCUAGGAAAAACUUCACGGUCGUGGUCAAUGGCACGGGCGAUACAUUUCCUUCGGAACUUGGGCCACUGAGUGGAAUGAAAGUGGUGGCUCUCGGCAGAAACUGUCUCACUCUACAUAAAGAAGAAGAGACUCAGUUGUGGGUUACACAGGCCCGUGUUGAUUCUCCAACAUGCUGUAAAAAGUUUUUUGAUGAAAAACGCGGAAGCGAAAAAUUCCUGACGACGUACAGCCGUGAAUUCUGCUGAAGAUGCCUGG